CUGCUGCCUCCCGUAGGAGUCUGGGCCGUGUCUCAGUCCCAAUGUGGCCGAUCAACCUCUCAGUUCGGCUACUGAUCGUCGACUAGGUGGGCCGUUACCCCGCCUACUAUCUAAUCAGACGCGAGUCCAUCUGUAAGCGAUUAAAUCUUUCAAAGCUUCCCCAUGCGGAAAAACUUCAAUAUGCGGUAUUAGCACAGAUUUCUCUGUGUUAUCCCCCCUCUUACAGGCAGGUUACUCACGCGUUACUCACCCGUCCG
rnacentral:rRNA from 1 species